rnacentral:rRNA from 1 species
CCUACGGGGUGCAGCAGUGAGGAAUAUUGGUCAAUGGACGAGAGUCUGAACCAGCCAAGUAGCGUGAAGGAUGACUGCCCUAUGGGUUGUAAACUUCUUUUAUAAAGGAAUAAAACGAGGCACGUGUGCCUUUUUGCAUGUACUUUAUGAAUAAGGAUCGGCUAACUCCGUGCCAGCAGCCGCGGUAAUACGGAGGAUCCGAGCGUUAUCCGGAUUUAUUGGGUUUAAAGGGAGCGUAGAUGGGUUGUUAAGUCAGUUGUGAAAGUUUGCGGCUCAACCGUAAAAUUGCAAUUGAUACUGGCAGUCUUGAGUACAGUUGAGGUAGGCGGAAUUCGUGGUGUAGCGGUGAAAUGCUUAGAUAUCACGAAGAACCCCGAUUGCGAAGGCGGGUUCCUGGACAUUAACUGACGCUGAGGCACGAAGGCCAGGGGAGCGAAAGGGAUUAGAUACCCCAGUAGUC